GAGAGAGAUCAUGUGGUAUCUGCCUUUCUGUGCCUGGUUUAUUUCACUUAGCCUUAUGUCCUCCAGGCUCAUCCAUGUUGCUGUGAAUGACAGGAUUUCAUUCUUUUCCCACGAGUUUUUAAUCUUGUUAAGGACAUUUUAACUGUCAUUAACUACAGUGUAUAUUGUCUCUGCUUCUAGACUGUCAUCUCCUCAAGGACUAUGUGUUUUAGCUAAAUUCCUUGCAUGCAGUGGGCCUUAGAAGCUGGGCAAUUUCAGAAAUGAAAAUCACACUGUGAAAGUUAUUCACAGUUUAGUAUUAAGUGAAAGAAGUUAAGUGGGAAGCUAAUUUGCUCAUUUUAAAAAAUGGGGCUACUUGGGAAAAUAUUUUAAAUGGCAUUUUAAGUGUUGGGAUUUCAGGUGAAAUUUCUUAUCUUAUUUUUGUUUUUUGGUUUUCUUCAUUUUCUGCCAUGAAUAUUAUUUGUUUUGUAAUGAAAAGGUAUAUAUAAAAAAUUGAUUGUGAGUUCAAACAAUGCUAUCUGUCAGCAUUAAGCAUGAAAGUACACUAAAGAAACAUUUUGGUCUUGGUUUGGCUGCUAUUUUACAAAAGCAUUCACUAAUUUUUUUUUUUUUUUGAAUGAGAAAACAUUUAUUCCAUCUCCAAACAGCAUCCCAGGGCCGGGCAUCUCCCCUACGACUUUAUAAUACACUCGGCACAGACAGAGUUUGGGAGCCAUGGGACACCUCUGCCCUCCCCAGGCUUCCUAAGUAACAACUGCAGAAUAUUUACAUAAAGCUGGGUGUUGUCAGGCAAAGCCAUUCCCUGCUGCCAGGGGUGGGAGCAAGAAGGAAGUGCCAUGAGCACCAGCCCCGCCUUCACACCGUGGGAGGCAGCCCAGAGGCCACCGGCACAGGGUGGUGGCCCCCAGAUCAUACAGCAGUGGACACAGGGGAAGCAAACCUGAGUGAGGACACAAGAGCCUGGUCCGGCUCCGCUGCACAGGAGAAACAUAAUUGAGGUGGAAGGAUCCAGAAGAAAGGAACCAGUGAUGAUGAGGACAGAGGGCUCUCCACGGGAAGGUGGGAGAGAAUUUAGUUCUCUGUGCCGUGAAGAUGGGAUUGGAGCCAUACAUUGGAGAUGAAGAGAGUCCUUCCAUCCAUCUGCUGGACCUGCUGGGCCUCAGGGCUUUCUCUGAAGUGGUAGGGGGAAGAUGUCACAGAGGAAAUGUAAAGAAAAGUCUACCUCGGCAGUCUACAGCGUGGUGGAUAAAAAAAGAGCAGGAAGAGUCUGGCGAGGCGAUCAGCCUGAUGUAGGUGCUGAGUGUCCCUCACAAAGUCCCAGCAUGAAAGGGGUGGCUGAGAGCCGCUGGGUGGGCCCCAAGUCCAUGGUGCUAGAGCGAGGUCAGGCUGAGGCAGGGCUGGAGGUGGUUGCAUGGAUGGCACUACAGGCACUUAGAGGGGUCUAAUCUGGGUCCAUUGGGGGCUAUGCCCCACAAGAGUGGUUCCUGUGCCCACGGGUCCCACCAUGAACCCCCCAGCCCCAGGCCUGAGCUCAUAAGUAAGCAGGGAGUCCAGAAGCCAAGCAGCCAAGGGCGUCCCUGACACCCAAAGCAAUGCCACCACAUACAAGGAUAGCCAGACGGAUCCAAGCUGAGGGCUGGACAGUGCCCACGGAGCCAUUUAAAGUCUUGUGUAUGUCUUUUUUUCCUCGUUUUUAAUUUCAUUUGACACUUAUGUACAAUAAAGUAUUGUGUAUGUCUAAAGCUUAAAUCAGGUGGGCCAUUUCCAUUUUCCUGGGUUCUGUUGGUUUGUUUGCUUUGUUUUCCUGCUGGUAAUAGGUAGUACCUGAGGAAGGCAAGAAAGGAUAUAAAGAAAAUAAGAAACAACACUUUCUCUGCACAUCCAAAUUGUGGCAAGGAUUUUUGCAGAUUGCCACCAGUUCACUGAGAGGAGUCAUUGAAAACAUGGCAUUGAGGACAGAGACUGCCACUUCAGAAUUUUCUACAUCCAACUGCUGAAGCCACUCGAAGAUAUUUCCCUCAGAGAACCAUAACCAGCUUUGGAGAAGAUGCUUCCACAUAGCUUGUUUCACAGCAUCUCAUCUCUCAUUAAAACCUUGUUGAGGGAGCAUUACUGUCUGAGCAAUGGACAUAGCUCUCAUACGAACCUUUUCAGCUAACACCGGAUAAGCCAGCUUUCUGACAGCCUCUUUCACAUCCUUGGUGCACCCUACAAUUUUUGGCAAAGUCUUUGCUGAUGGUGCAAUACAUGAUAA
rnacentral:lncRNA from 1 species